rnacentral:rRNA from 1 species
UACGGGGGGGGCAAGCGUUGUUCGGAAUUACUGGGCGUAAAGGGCGCGUGGGCGGGUGGGAAAGUCUCUCGUGAAAGCCCACGGCUCAACCGUGGAAUUGCGGGAAAUACUGUCUGUCUUGAGUCCGGGAGAGGAGGGUGGAAUUCCCAGUGUAGCGGUGAAAUGCGUAGAUAUUGGGAGGAACGCCGGUGGCGAAGGCGGCUCUCUGGCCCGGUACUGAGGCUGAGGCGCGAAAGCUAGUGGAGCAAACGGG